UUUCAACAACGGAUCUCUUGGUUCUGGCAUCGAUGAAGAACGCAGCGAAAUGCGAUAAGUAAUGUGAAUUGCAGAAUUCAGUGAAUCAUCGAAUCUUUGAACGCACAUUGCGCCCCCUGGCAUUCCGGGGGGCAUGCCUGUU
rnacentral:rRNA from 1 species